UACAGAGGUCCCCGAGCGUUGUUCGGAUUUACUGGGCGUAAAGGGUGCGUAGGCGGUCGGGUAAGUUUGAUGUGAAAUCUCCAAGCUUAACUUGGAAACGGCAUUGAAUACUAUCCGGCUAGAGGUUUGGAGGGGGACGUGGAAUUCCCGGUCGUAGCAGUGAAAUGCGUAGAUAUCGGGAGGAACACCAGUGGCGAAGGCGAGUCCCUGGACAACACCUGACGCUGAGGCACGAAAGCUAGGGGAGCAAACAGGAUUAGAAACCCCUGUAGU
rnacentral:rRNA from 1 species